rnacentral:rRNA from 1 species
GUGCCAGCCGCCGCGGUAAUACCGGCAGCCCAAGUGGUGGCCGCUGUUAUUGGGCCUAAAGCGUCCGUAGCUGGCCGCACGAGUCCAUCGGAAAAUCCACCCGCCCAACGGGUGGGCGUCCGGUGGAAACUGCGUGGCUUGGGACCGGAAGGCGCGACGGGUACGUCCGGGGUAGGGGUGAAAUCCCGUAAUCCUGGACGGACCGCCGAUGGCGAAAGCACGUCGCGAAGACGGAUCCGACAGUGAGGGACGAAAGCGAGGGUCUCGAACCGGAUUAGAAACCUGGUAGUCC